GGUGGCGUGUCCGAGCGGCCGAAGGAGCGCGCCUCGAAAGCGCGUGAGGUGUAUGCCUCCCGGGGUUCGAAUCCCCGCGCCACCG
rnacentral:tRNA from 1 species